rnacentral:rRNA from 1 species
GCUUGUUGGUGAGGUAGUGGCUCACCAAGGCGACGACGGGUAGCCGGCCUGAGAGGGCGACCGGCCACACUGGGACUGAGACACGGCCCAGACUCCUACGGGAGGCAGCAGUGGGGAAUAUUGCACAAUGGGCGAAAGCCUGAUGCAGCGACGCCGCGUGAGGGAUGACGGCCUUCGGGUUGUAAACCUCUUUCAGCAGGGAAGAAGCGAAAGUGACGGUACCUGCAGAAGAAGCGCCGGCUAACUACGUGCCAGCAGCCGCGGUAAUACGUAGGGCGCAAGCGUUGUCCGGAAUUAUUGGGCGUAAAGAGCUCGUAGGCGGCUUGUCACGUCGGUUGUGAAAGCCCGGGGCUUAACCCCGGGUCUGCAGUCGAUACGGGCAGGCUAGAGUUCGGUAGGGGAGAUCGGAAUUCCUGGUGUAGCGGUGAAAUGCGCAGAUAUCAGGAGGAACACCGGUGGCGAAGGCGGAUCUCUGGGCCGAUACUGACGCUGAGGAGCGAAAGCGUGGGGAGCGAACAGGAUUAGAUACCCUGGUAGUCCACGCCGUAAACGUUGGGCGCUAGAUGUGGGGACCAUUCCACGGUUUCCGUGUCGCAGCUAACGCAUUAAGCGCCCCGCCUGGGGAGUACGGAAUCUCUAGAGGAUCCC